CAGCUCUGGACAUUCACUCCAGUCCGUAAGUCCGGCGGUGAGAGGUGAUAUGUGAGAUUCACCUCUACCAACGAUGAACAGGUCGUGAGCAUCGUCCAUUGAUCUUAUGGCCGCCACUGUCUCUUCGCCGUUGUUCAACACUUUUUCUGUGGCGGCCUGAUUUUCUGGUGUUGUGGACAAUGAGCAUGGCGGAGGCUCGACCUGUGAGUUCAACCAAGUGUAGCACGUAAAUGCAAAUUGGGGAUCUUUUAGUUGGAUGGGAAGCAUCAAGGAGGCUGAUGAUUGUUGGCACAUUUCGAGCUAAAGCAGUGGAGUUGUCACCAAAUCUCAACUUGAGAGAUUGCCCCAUGGUUCACCACUUUCUUAUUAAACCAACCAAGUUCUCUAUAUUUGAUUUUGAUUUCGUUCCUACAUGUUCCAUUCUGCUGUUUUGAUUUCCACAAAGUUUGUACCUUCAAAUCCAUCCUUUUCGUCUAUUUUUCAUAACUUUUCUUUAAUUUC